rnacentral:rRNA from 1 species
GUGCCAGCCGCCGCGGUAAUACGUAGGGUGCAAGCGUUAAUCGGAAUUACUGGGCGUAAAGCGUGCGCAGGCGGUUUUGUAAGUCUGUCGUGAAAUCCCCGGGCUCAACCUGGGAAUUGCGAUGGAGACUGCAAGGCUAGAAUCUGGCAGAGGGGGGUAGAAUUCCACGUGUAGCAGUGAAAUGCGUAGAGAUGUGGAGGAACACCGAUGGCGAAGGCAGCCCCCUGGGUCAAGAUUGACGCUCAUGCACGAAAGCGUGGGGAGCAAACAGGAUUAGAAACCCUAGUAGUC